rnacentral:rRNA from 1 species
CCUACGGGUGGCAGCAGUGAGGAAUAUUGGUCAAUGGACGCAAGUCUGAACCAGCCAUGCCGCGUGCAGGAUGACGGCUCUAUGAGUUGUAAACUGCUUUUGUACGAGGGUAAACCCCGAUACGUGUAUCGGGUUGAAAGUAUCGUACGAAUAAGGAUCGGCUAACUCCGUGCCAGCAGCCGCGGUAAUACGGAGGAUCCGAGCGUUAUCCGGAUUUAUUGGGUUUAAAGGGUGCGUAGGCGGGUUGAUAAGUUAGAGGUGAAAUGUCGGGGCUCAACCCCGAAACUGCCUCUAAUACUGUUGGACUAGAGAAUAGUUGCGGUAGGCGGAAUGUAUGGUGUAGCGGUGAAAUGCUUAGAGAUCAUACAGAACACCGAUUGCGAAGGCAGCCUGCUGGACUGUAACUGACGCUGAUGCGCGAAAGUGUGGGUAUCAAACAGGAUUAGAUACCCGAGUAGUC